AACUUGGUCCGCAACGGUUUAUUG
rnacentral:siRNA from 1 species